rnacentral:rRNA from 1 species
UACGGAGGGUGCAAGCGUUAUCCGGAUUCACUGGGUUUAAAGGGUGCGUAGGCGGGUAGGUAAGUCAGUGGUGAAAUCUUCGAGCUUAACUCGGAAACUGCCUUUGAUACUAUCUAUCUUGAAUAUUGUGGAGGUAAGCGGAAUAUGUCAUGUAGCGGUGAAAUGCUUAGAUAUGACAUAGAACACCUAUUGCGAAGGCAGCUUACUACGCAUAUAUUGACGCCGAGGCACGAAAGCGUGGGGAUCAAACAGG